rnacentral:rRNA from 1 species
GACGAACGCUGGCGGCGUGCCUAAUACAUGCAAGUAGAACGCACAGUUUAUACCGUAGCUUGCUACACCAUAGACUGUGAGUUGCGAACGGGUGAGUAACGCGUAGGUAACCUGCCUGGUAGCGGGGGAUAACUAUUGGAAACGAUAGCUAAUACCGCAUAAUAUUAAUUAUUGCAUGAUAAUUAAUUGAAAGGAGCAAUUGCACCACUACCAGAUGGACCUGCGUUGUAUUAGCUAGUAGGUGAGGUAACGGCGCACCUAGGCGACGAUACAUAGCCGACCUUGGCGGGUGAUCGGCCACCUUGGGACUUGGACACGGCCCAUACGCCUACGGGAGGCCGCAGUAGGGAAUCUUCGGCAAUGGACGAAAGUCUGGCCGAGCAACGCCGCGUGAGUGAAGAAGGUUUUCGGUUCGUAAAGCUCUGUUGUAAGGGAAGAACGGGUGUGAGAGUGGAAAGUUCACACUGUGACGGUAUCUUACCAGAAAGGGACGGCUAACUACGUG